GCCCGGGUAGCUCAGUCGGUAGAGCAGUGGACUGAAAAUCCUCGUGUCGGCAGUUCGAUUCUGUCCCCGGGCACCA
rnacentral:tRNA from 1 species